UACGGAGGAUCCGAGCGUUAUCCGGAAUUAUUGGGUUUAAAGGGUGCGUAGGCGGCUUUUUUAAGUCAGCGGUGAAAUUUUGCAGCUUAACUGUAACAGUGCCGUUGAUACUGGGGAGCUAGGAUUUGGUUGCUGUGGGUGGAAUGUGUGGUGUAGCGGUGAAAUGCUUAGAGAUCACACAGAAUAUCGAUUGCGAAGGCAGCUCACAAAGCCAAGAUUGACGCUGAGGCACGAAAGUGUGGGGAUCAAACAGGAUUAGAUA
rnacentral:rRNA from 1 species